GUAGCUUGGAAAAAACAGCUUUCCUCUAGUGAACCACACAGUAAUGCUGCAGAGUAGCUUAGCAGGGAAAGCAAAACAAGACAAAAAAGCUUUAAAGGUCUAAAAGCUGUGAGGGGUUUGUCAUACAGCAGCAAGAUGUCCCAGAGUGCUCAGAUGGAUACUCUACCUACAGCCACCCUACAGUUCGCUCUUCUCUUCCAGGUUAAAGGAGAAAGCCCUGGAAAUGUCAUGAAUGCACAUUUCCCUUUAAUCUGGGGGUUCCUUGCUUUCCACGUAGGGAAAAAUCCCUGUGUGACAACAGCCUAUUUUAUUCAUUUUAAUGCAGGGGAUAUGGACAUGUUGUGCAUGCAUUACCCCCCAACCCCCAGACAGCAGUGCCCUGUGUGGGGUUUUUUUUUUACUUCAUAUGCUAUACAAAUGUACUUUAAUAAAUAAAUAACUCUCACUUUCACAAAUACUUAUAAAAAGUUACAGCACUUCAAUCUUUUACCGUCUAUGUCAUGCAUUCCUUAUCUAAAUGCUUCAGAGGUAGAGGUUUACCUGUUCAUACUGAUUCAUGCCUGACAGCUAGGAUUAACUACUGUACUACACACUGUGUGGGAAGUGUGGGAAAAGUGCCAGCAGUUAAGAAAGUGCCAAGCUGUUGACAAGUAAUACAUAUCCCAAAAGGCCUACCCCAAUGUUGCAACAACUUCACUGGUUUCUAGUUCAUUUCUGCCCCAUAAAUGGUCGUUUAAUCCCCUAAAUGAUCUGGGCCUGCUUGCUCCCAUACAAAUCUAUAUGAAUAUUAAGAUCCUAACCGGCCCUGCCUCUUUCUUCCUGAAACAGGGUAGAUGGCUGCAGGACCAUGGUUGCUAGUCAAAUGGAUGAUUGGAGCUGUCUAAACAGAAAGUACUUCCAUUUGCAUGGGGUUAUACAACAUCUAUCGUAUGUAUGAACUACUUUAACUGAUCAAUCGCAUAAUGCCGAAUAAAUGCAUCAGCGGACAACCAUGUGGCUGCUCGACAGACCUCCUGCAGAGGGACCCCCUUCUGAAAUGCAGCCAAAGAUGCCUGAGUUCUUGUAGAGUGAACACGAACAACUAAAGGACAUGGUACCUUUGCCAUUUUAUUACAUGGUUUUAUAGUGAAGACUAUUCACCUGGACAAAGUCUGCAAUGAAGCCCUUCUUCUAUGUCCCAAGUAAGCUAUAAAUAAAGUUUUAUUCUUCCUAAA